CCCUUAGAUGUUCUGGGCCGCACGCGCGCUACACUGAUGCAUUCAACGAGUUUCUUCCUGGUCCGAGAGGAAUGGGUAACCUUUUGAAAGUGCAUCGUGAUAGGGAUAGACUAUUGCAAUUAUUGAUCUUCAACGAGGAAUUCCUAGUAGACGUAGUUCAUCAGACUGCAUCGAUUACGUCCCUGCCCUUUGUACACACCGCCCGUCGCUCCUACCGAUUGAAUGCUCAGGUGAGCCAUUCGGACUUUCAUCAUGCUGGUUUCCAGUUUUGAUGAAGGAAAGUCUUGCGAACCUUAUCAUUUAGAGGAAGGAGAAGUCGUAACA
rnacentral:rRNA from 1 species